GCCUCUCACAAGUGGAACAUGACAUGAGUGCAGCUUGUAUUAACUUUAUUCAGCCAAGCAUAUUGACAUAAUUUUGUGUCUCAAGAUUGUCAGUAGACUGACUGCACAUAAGCAUCUGAAGGGAAAAUGUUAUUUUACACUGUUCUUUUCCUGGGUAAUCAUCAUUUUACAACUUUACAUAUAUGGAGAACGGAAUGACCGGGAAAGUGCAUAGGAUCUACACAUGCGGUUAAUCCAUGAACGACUAAAGUUGUAUAAAU